rnacentral:rRNA from 1 species
UACGGAGGGAGCUAGCGUUGUUCGGAAUUACUGGGCGUAAAGCGCACGUAGGCGGCGACUCAAGUCAGAUGUGAAAGCCCGGGGCUCAACCCCGGAACUGCCUUUGAAACUAGGUUGCUAGAAUCCUGGAGAGGUGAGUGGAAUUCCGAGUGUAGAGGUGAAAUUCGUAGAUAUUCGGAAGAACACCAGUGGCGAAGGCGACUCACUGGACAGGUAUUGACGCUGAGGUGCGAAAGCGUGGGGAGCAAACACG